GACGUAGGGUGCGAGCGUUAAUCGGAAUUACUGGGCGUAAAGCGUGCGCAGGCGGUUUUGUAAGCCAGAUGUGAAAUCCCCGGGCUUAACCUGGGAAUGGCAUUUGGGACUGCAAAGCUUGAGUGCGGCAGAGGGGACUGGAAUUCCUGGUGUAGCAGUGAAAUGCGUAGAGAUCAGGAGGAAUACCGAUGGCGAAGGCAGGUCCCUGGGCUGACACUGACGCUCAUGCACGAAAGCGUGGGGAGCAAACAGG
rnacentral:rRNA from 1 species